GAUGAACGCUAGCGGCAGGCCUAACACAUGCAAGUCGAGGGAGAAGCCUUUCGGGGCAGAAACCGGCGCACGGGUGCGUAACGCGUAUGCAACCUACCUUUCACAGGGGGAUAGCCCGAAGAAAUUUGGAUUAAUACCCCAUAAUAUUGUUGGAUGGCAUCAUCUGAUAAUUAAAACUGCGGUGGUGAAAGAUGGGCAUGCGUCCUAUUAGCUAGUUGGAGUGGUAACGGCACCCCAAGGCUACGAUAGGUAGGGGUCCUGAGAGGGAGAUCCCCCACACUGGUACUGAGACAGGGACCAGACUCCUACGGGAGGCAGCAGUGAGGAAUACUGGUCAAUGGUCGGAAGACUGAACCAGCCAUGCCGCGUGCAGGAAGAAUGCCUUAUGGGUGGUAAACUGCUUUUAUAUGGGAAGAAUAAGGUGUACGUGUACAUUGAUGACGGUACCAUAUGAAUAAGCAUCGGCUAACUCCGUG
rnacentral:rRNA from 1 species